GAGAGGGAGAGUGCGGCCGACGGCAGUAUCUAUUUACUGCUGAGGAAAGUCCCCACUCCGACCGGAAAUGAUGCUGCAUGCAAGUGCAGGUGGCGAGAGUCAUGGCUCUGGCACAGAAACGAUACGGCCUUCUGCUUAGCUUAUGAGGCAGGAACAAACUGCUGAGGCGCUUUGAGGGAGAGGGAAACGAUGGAACGGUGAAUCCCUUCAGGAGCAAGCCGAACAGGGACAUCAACAGUAUUUUCGGACUGGUCCCGGGUACGGCGCACAGCUGAAUGCCGCAGAAACAUAAUGGGGCUUACUCCUCCCACUC
rnacentral:RNase_P_RNA from 1 species